rnacentral:miRNA from 1 species
GUAGUGGAGACUGGUGUGGCUA